UCGGGAAUUUUGGGCAAUGGGGGAAACCCUGACCCAGCAACGCCGCGUGAAGGAUGAAGUAUUUCGGUAUGUAAACUUCGAAAGAAUAGGAAGAAUAAAUGACGGUACUAUUUAUAAGGUCCGGCUAACUACGUGCCAGCAGCCGCGGUAAUACGUAGGGACCAAGCGUUGUUCGGAUUUACUGGGCGUAAAGGGCGCGUAGGCGGCAUGACAAGUCACUUGUGAAAUCUCUGGGCUUAACCCAGAACGGCCAAGUGAUACUGUCGCGCUAGAGUGCAGAAGGGGCAAUCGGAAUUCUUGGUGUAGCGGUGAAAUGCGUAGAUAUCAAGAGGAACACCUGAGGUGAAGACGGGUUGCUGGGCUGGCACUGACGCUGAGGCGCGAAAGCUAGGGUAGCAAACGGGAUUAGAUACCCUGGUAGUCCCUGAGCGGGCUGGCAAGGCGCAU
rnacentral:rRNA from 1 species